CCUACGGGAGGCAGCAGUGAGGAAUAUUGGUCAAUGGGCGCGACCCUUAACCAGCGAAGUCGCGUGAGGGAAGACGGUCCUCCGGGUUGUAAACCUCUUUUGCCGGGGAGCAAAGGGCGCCACGUGUGGCGCCACUGAGAGUACCCGGCGUAACAGCCUCGGCUAACUCCGUUCCGGCAGCAGCGGUAAUACGGAGGACGCGAGCGUUAGCCGGAGUUAUUGGGUGUAAAGGUUGCGUAGGCGGAUUGAUAAGUUAGCCGUGAAAUGUACGUGCUUAACUCGGGAACUGCCUCUAAUACUGUUGAUCUUGAGUGUAGAUGCGGUAAGCGGAAUGUAUGGUGUAGCGGUGAAAUGCGUAGAGAUCAGACAGAACACCGAUGGCGAAGGCAGCUUAC
rnacentral:rRNA from 1 species